UACGGGGGGGGCAAGCGUUGUUCGGAAUUACUGGGCGUAAAGGGCUCGUAGGCGGCCAACUAAGUCCGACGUGAAAUCCCAAGGCUUAACCUUGGAACUGCGUCGGAUACUGGAUGGCUUGAAUUCGGGAGAGGGAUGCAGAAUUCCAGGUGUAGCGGUGAAAUGCGCAGAUAUCGGGAGGAACAUCAAUGGCGAAGGCAGCUCGCUGGGACGGUACUGACGCUAAGGCGCGAAAGCGUGGGGAGCGAACAGG
rnacentral:rRNA from 1 species